UUGGCAGGGGGGCUGAGAGACAGAGACUUUCUACAAUCUCAGAAUCACCAAUAGCACAGAUUCUGACAGAAGUGGGGGUAAAGAAGAGCAUCAGAUGUCCAAGCGUUGCAGAUAUAGUAAUACAAACUUGGCACAGAAUGCAGUGAAAAUGUCAGCAGCCUCAGAAGUCUGAAAGGAUCCAGUGGAUGAAGCACCCUCCUCUGCCAGCAGCAAUAAAGGAGCUCCAGUGAGGACUUUUGGGGCUUUAAAGAGGAGCCUGUGCCUGUGUCCCAGCAGUGUGUGGGCAGGGGUGCAGUUUUCAGACAGUCACUGCCUGGGUGAGUGGAGAAAAUGCUGAAGCACUGAGAGAAAACCACUCCUGCAGAGCAGCAGAACUUGCCCAGAAGGAAGUUUCAUAGUGCAGCAAUUAACAGGUAAGUUAGGAGAGGACAA